rnacentral:rRNA from 1 species
AUUGAACGCUGGCGGCAGGCCUAACACAUGCAAGUCGAGCGGAGCGGAAGACGGGUGAGUAAUGCCUAGGAAUCUGCCUGGUAGUGGGGGAUACCGUCCGGAAACGGGCGCUAAUACCGCAUACUAUCAGAUUAGCCUAGGUGGGAGUAGCUAGUUGGGGGGGUAAAGGCCUACCAAGUCGCCGAUCCGUAACUGGUCUGAGAGGAUGAUCAGUCACACUGGAACUGAGACACGGUCCAGACUCCUACGGGAGGCAGCAGGGGGGAAUAUUGGACAAUGGGCGAAAGCCUGAUCCAGCCAUGCCGCGUGUGUGAAGAAGGUCUUCGGAUUGUAAAGCACGUUAAGUUGGGAGGCGUUACCAACAGAAUAAGCACCGGCUAACUUCGUGCCAGCAGCCGCGGUAAUUC